UAAAUUGUAAAACAUGUAAAACAGUUUAUAUGUAACAACAAAACAAGUGUUCUUAAAAAAUGAAUAUUAAAGAGAUGAAAAUGACUGACAUAUAAGGUCUAUCAAUACUUGAAAUUGAACUUAUAUUUUGAUUUCAAGAAAGCUUCCUGUUGCACAUCGGACGUGAAUACAUGGUCAAUUAGACUGAAUAGCAGUGUCCAGGUAAUACACGAUGCAUACAUGCAAAAAAAAAAAGAUGAAUUUGCAACAUAGAUUGAUGCACAAGUGACCUAUCCAGGAUUCCUAGUGAGGUAGUAUGCAUGGACUUUGUCUGUAAGCCACUUCUUUAUAUAUAUGGCAGCACUGAUCAAAAAGAUGACCUUGGAAGGGUAAUCAGCACUUAUAGUCAAUGUGACCCAUUUGACAAUGUCAUAAGUGAUUCAGAAUUCUUCCAGAAAUAUUUGAAUUCAAGACAACUAGCACCUGAUAAUUAAAUUACAUUUGACACUUGAUGCCUCUUCAAGGACAGCUGUAACUGAAGUCUGGUUUUUCAUGAUGUGGCAGUGGUACUACAGCAGACUGAAAUAAAACUGAAUUGGAAAUUAAACAGAUCAAUAAGCAUCUUUGUAUUUUAUUUUUUUUUUCCUGAUGGAAGUGAUGUAUAUGUAUCCUCACACAAUAAUGACAGAAACUUGCAUUAAGGAUUCUGUUGACAUUUGGAAUGAAGUUACACUAUUUAGAAGUGUGAAGUGGGAAUUUGAUAGUUCAGACAGUGCUGGACAGCAAGAUCCAUGGGCAAGAGUGAGCCUACUGAUUCUGGAACUGCCAUGACCAACUGCAAAGUACACAGAGAAAAGUCCUGGCCUCACUGCUGCUAUUAUAUAUAUUUCAAAAGUCAGAAUUUCACCUGGAACUUAUGUCUUAUUCAAAUAACAUGAGGUAGUGAUAUCUAACUCUUCUGUAACUUAGGAACAAUUUUAUAUAGGUACUCUACUGAAUUAUCAGCUUGUAUAAAUCUUCAUAAUUCUUUUUUGCUUUCUAGGCAGCAUCAUUAGUUCUGAUAGGCCUAGCUGAAUUAUUCUUGAUUUACACCUCUUUAGGAAGAGUGGGGCUGUCAAAUAUUGAGUAUUCAUGUUUUAUUUAUCUGAGCACAUCUAAGUAGCAUUAAAACUGCUAAAUGUAACACUUUUUUCAAUUAAAAAUUGGAAGUAAAAUACAAUAUUUUUUUUUUCUUUCAGAUUUCUGAACUUAAAGGGAAGACAUUCAGAUCACUCGGUUUAACUCUACUGGCUAUCUCUCUAAAACAAGCCACACACCAUCAGUUCACUGGGAAUAGAACUAUUCUGAAUAACAUGCUUUGGUCCAGCAUGAAGGAAGACAAUUUUAAUGAGUUAAGAGGCUCUUAAAGGCCUCAUGGAAAUAAAGGAAAUGUGAAAAACAUCUACUGGAAAAAUCUUCAUACUUCAGCAGGCCCAGAGCAUUUUAUAAUCAACAUGAGAUUUUCUUCCUGGAUUAACGACUCCUUUGUUUUAAAAAAGAAUACCAAUACUAAACAAACAAACAAAAAAGACACAUUUGCUUCUCAUUCUCAGUGUUUAUUUUUGGAAGUCUUCCAGAAUUAUCUUUUGACUGUGGCUGCUGAUGUGGGCUAAGGAGGCAUUCACUAGCUUCAGUAUUUUUAGAGGGGCCUUGGGAAUUUAUUUACUUAUUUAGUUUGUUUUUACAGGGAGGAGACAGUAUUCUUUUUUUUUCUUCUUUUUUCUUCAAAAAGCGGAUGGCAAGUUGAAGACUGUUUCACUGACUCCAACAUCUGUCCAGAAGGAUAUCAGCAAACUGUUACAGUGAGAGGGACAAAAACCUUCUGGUAGGGACUUUAAAAUCAGAAGGGAAAGAAAAAGUGUUAUCCUUUCCUAGCAGAAAUCUCCUGGCUUAGCUCCUUCAAAUUACUGCAUGUAAGAGUCAGUGUAACUCUCUCCACAAAAUUCAUGUUGGCUGAAGCUUUCAAAAUAAAUACGUAUCUGCUUCAUUUCCAUUUGCUGAUGCACUUAAGAGGAGAAACCUAACAGAAGAUACGGCCAAUUGCAGGUUUAUUCAGCCUGUAAGUCAUGGCAUAUUUCACCAACAAACACAAGUCCUAUUCUGUCCUCCAUUCACCAUGAAGACUCAAUAAGAAGUUAGCACUUUCAUGCUCUCUGGCUUGCAAGGCCUUAUAAUUAAUUCCUGAUUGCAAUUACAGGAGAACACAGACUUUUUUCCAUUUGAGAACAAAGAAAAUGGGAUGGCGUGGGUGAAAUUUAAAAUCUUACAUCAGUUUGACAUGGAGCACUGCUCUCUGUAUGCCCUCCACACAACAUCUGAUUUGCUUGUCAGCUGGCUUAGGGCCAGCAGUGGCUGCUGCAGACUGGAACAGGGGAGGCUUUUCAGUGGGCAUGAGAGCAGGAGAGCAAGACUGCAAGUGUUGUCCAUGAGGCACUAUCAACUCAAGCCAGUUUCAAGCUUUCUCCUUGAAAGUACUGAAAUAAUAUUUUAAACCAAAGUUUAUGGUAGGUAAAGAAAGGAAAUUCUGGUUGAUCGUCUGGGUUAGCUAGAGUAAGGUUCAACAGAUCAGCUAAAUUCAAGAGCUUAAUCAGUUUAUUUAAUAAUGUGACAGGGUGACAUACUUUGUAAGAGGAUUUGAAAAAAUGGAAGAGCAAGGAAAAAGGUGGUUUAGUAUCUUCAAAAUAAUCUUUGCAGAAUUUGUUCUUGGAGUUUGAGGACUUUCAACUAUCUGGAAACGAUACAUAGUCUGCAAAAACAAAGGAAAUAUGGGAGAGAAAAUCUCCAUCUUAAAUCCCGGGUGCACUCUGUGAAGAGCCUUACACUAUGCAAGCAUUCUAAGAACUGGUGAUGUGGCUGAAGGCUAUUACUUUCAGGAUCAAAUACCAAACAAAACAAAAAACAAACAGCAAAGAAAUACAAACUAUCUCCCCAGGUAAGAACAUGGAUCUUGCCUUUUUUUCAAUUCCAGUUUUAUGCUUUCUUUAUCUUUACUGAAUUCAUUCUUGAAUAUCUCAGCAUAAGAAGACAUUACAAGAAUUUCAUAAUAAGAAUUCUCCCUACUGCGAUAGCAUCAUAUUCAAAGGGAGAACUUCUGUGAUAAUUAGCAUCCAUGGAGAAUGCAUGCAAGAGAUCAACAAACAGAGAGAUUUUAUUUUACAGUGAUUUCACUUUAAGUUAGAUGAACAUUGUGUUUAACCCAAUAGGCAGCUAAGCACCAUGCAGACAUUUGCUCACUCCCCCCACAGUAGAGAGAAUUGGAGAAAAACUAAAACUCAUGGGUUGAGAUAACAACAGGUUAAUAGGAUGGAAAAGGAAGGGAAACUAUACAUAAAUAUAGAAAAAUAUAAGAAAAUAUAUAAAACCAGUGAUGCACAAUGUAAUUGCUCCCCACCCGCUGACCAAUGCCCAGCCAGUCCCUGAGCAGCAGCAACUCCUGCUGGCCAACUCCCCCAAGUUUAACUGUCCAGCAUGACGCCGUAUGGUACGAGGCAUCCUUUUGGCUGGUUUGGGUCAGCUGCCCUGGUUCUUUUACCUCUCAGCUCCUUGUGACCCAAAAUCUUUUCUGGCAGCGCUGUGCAAGAAGCUGAAAAGACCUUGACUUCGUGUAAGCACUGCUCUGCCACAACUAAAAUAUCAAUGUGUUAUCAACAUUACUGUCAUCCUAAAUCCAAAACAUAGACCCAUACCAGCUACUAGGAAGAAAAUUAACUCUAUCUCCCCCAAACCAGGACAAUAACUUAACAGAGAUUUUUCUGAAUUAUAUAAACACCACAUGUUUUCAGCGCCUGGUCUUAAGCACUAUGGUUCUAAAUUUAUUGUUAAUGACCAGAGUUAACAGAAUCUAAAAAAUGUUUUAGACAAUGAUAAAAACAAUUAGUGUCCUGUGAUGAACAUAAUCUAGAUACAAUCCAAGUUGAAGCGCACUAACUCUUAACUGCAAUCUGAGAGUAUGCUGAUAAAGACCACUAAAUAUGCACAGAAUUUCAAUGCUGACAGGAACAAUGAAUGGCACAUCUAGAAUUAAAUAUGUAUAUUCUACUUCUGCCUCUUGACAAUUCCAUUUGUCUUAUAUUACUGAGCUAGAUAAGAAAAAAUUGAAGUCCAGGCAAUCAUAAGCACAAAGUCGUUUUUAAAAAGAGAUAGUUUUAUGCUGUAAGAUAAUGAUUGACAGUUAAGAAAAGUUUAAAGAAUUGGCAUAGCAAGAAACUGUAUUACAGAAAGUGAUCCCAAU